GACACUGUGGGUCUUUAAGUGGCAUGCUUCUGAAGGACACUGUGGGUCUUUAGGUGGCAUGCUUCAGGGCAGUGUCUUGGGUCUUGUGCUCUUCAUUGAAUCUGUUCUGAGCAGCACUUCAGAAGUGUAGAUUGCAUUUGAUUACUGCUACACUGCUAUUUGGAUUGUUAAUCAAAUUCGUCACGCCGUACUUGACUUUGUGUCUUUUUUUCCCCUUACAUUUGAAUUGUUUCACAUUUUACUGCAUUGUUAGGAGCUAGUAACUUUGCUCCUUGCUAUAAAAACCUGCUAAACUGUGUAUGCAACCAAUAUACUCUGAUUUGAUGUGUGUAUGUACAGCAGUUCUCCCCAGUCCCAGUCCCAAUCACAAUGCUCUUCUCCACCUAUCACUGGGCAAUUACUAUCAGCCGAAUACAAGCAGCAGAACACUGCUAAUUAUUGGAAGCUUUGUUUGACGAAUGUCCUGCAAACUUUGACACAAAAUGGAAGUUAUUGAGUGUUGGGUUUUUAAAUGUGUUAUCUUUAUCAGUUAAGUGGUCCAAGGACCUAAUCAAAGAGAGCAAUCAGUGAAACAAAUUGAGAUAAAUAGUAGUGCGCUCCACAUCUAGGUUUCUACCCUCUAAACUGUUCUGCCUGUCUACCUGUCUGUCUGCUUGCCUGCCUGCCUGCCCACCUGUCUGUCUCCUUGCCUGUCUACCUGCCUGCCUGUCUGUCUACCUCCUUGACUGCCUGUUUACCUGUCUACCUGACUGUCUACCUGUCUCCCUGUCUGCCUGUCUAUCUGUCUGUCUGUCUGUCUGUCUGCCUGCCUGUCUACCUCCCUUCUACCUGUCUGACUGUCUGCCUCUCUGUCUGACUCCUUAUCUUCCUGACACUAUCUGGAGGAGAGACUCUGUAGGAGAAAGACUGGAACCCAGGCUGAUCAUCACUAUCAGGAGGAGAGACUCUGUAGGAGACAGACUGGAACACAGGCUGAUCAGAUCAGGAGGAUAGACUCUGUAGGAGACAGACUGGAACCCAGGCUGAUCAGCACUGUCAGGAGGAGAGACUCGGUAAGAGACAGACUGGAACCCAGGCUGAUCAUCACUAUCAGGAGGAGAGACUCUGUAGGAGACAGACUGGAACCCAGGCUGAUCAUCACUAUCAGGAGGAGAGACUCUGUAGGAGACAGACUGGAACCCAAACUGAUCAGAUCAGGAGGAGAGACUCUGUAGGAGACAGACUGGAACCCAGGCUGAUCAUCACUAUCAGGAGGAGAGACUCUGUAGGAGACAGACUGGAACCCAAACUGAUCAGAUCAGGAGGAGNNNNNNNNNNNNNNNNNNNNNNNNNNNNNNNNNNNNNNNNNNNNNNNNNNNNNNNNNNNNNNNNNNNNNNNNNNNNNNNNNNNNNNNNNNNNNNNNNNNNNNNNNNNNNNNUGUGUGUGUGUGUGUGUGUGUGUGUGUGUCAUUAUGGAGACACCUGUUCCCAACCCUUUUUUCUACCCUCGCUUGGUUCUUUUUAUGGGGGAAAAGUCCUCAAUGAAACUGGCAUUAAAUGUGGAGAAUGAUACAAUUGCCUCUGUUGGCCAUCAAAUAACCUAUUCAUUUAUAUGCCAUGGUAGGCUACCAUUUGAUACAAUACACAUGUUGGAAUGACGAUAUCACUGGAGUCGUUGCAAAUUAAUGUGUGCCACUUGUGUAGCCUACCUGGAGCUGGCAAAUAAUACAUAUUUAUAUUAACUUCAGUGUAUUGUUGUUGUAGCCUUCUGUUAUUAUGCAAUUAUUAAUGGACAUGUUUAGUUAAUUAAAUUGGAAGCUAUCGAAGCUCUAUCGCAAUUGCCGAUUAGUUGUUAGAACGCAUUAGAUUGACAGUAAAAAAAUAGUCAUAUUAAGCUUCAGGUAAUUAAUAUUUAAUAUAUGUAAUUCUACAUCUUGUCUAGGCUACUGUAUACCAUCUGAAAUUAUAUGUAGGCUUAUCAGGAGCUAUAGACUAUCUGCCUUUAUCUACGUAAACCAUGACAGAGUUGAAUUACAAUAAUAAACCCAGAUUUUAGUCCUGUAGCCUAUUGAAAUGACAAGUCAAUCUCACAAAUGAGCCCUUUAUAACGGUUUUGUAUUUAUUCAUUUAUAACCGUUUGUAUUUAUUAACAUCUGGCACAUAAUAACAGCACAUUUACCCGAAAAUAACCUGACAUUAGUUUAUGUUAGUCCAAGUGUUUCUUGCUCAGAGAUUUCGAGAUCCUCUGUCCAACUUUCAUCGCUCAAACUCUCCUGUCGGAUUUAUCUAGUUAUGCACAUGCCCAGAGGGGAUUUAUUUACAAUUGUAAACCUGCUUUGAGCCCUGAAUGCUGAUUGGCUAUUAGCCGUGGUAUAUCAGACUAUAGCAAUACGGCAUACUGGGGGUUUGUGGUAUAUGGCCUAUAUACCACGGCUAACGGCUGUAUCCAGGCACACGCUUAAAAACAGCCCUUGGCCAUGGUAAAUUGGCCAUAUACCAUACGCCCGUGUGCCUUUUUGCUUAAUCAUACCAGUAAAACGAGUUAAAUUGACAUCCAUUGAUGGAAAAUUGUCUGGCGAGUUUAAUGAGGGCGAAUUAUCUUUUCUCCUGCGACAUAUUCACAUUCCUUCAUUAUGUCGUGUCAUAGCUCACAAUAAGUAUGUUGAUGAAAACCGAAUUUAUCUUCUAACGUCGUUACAAGUUACUACGAUAUUCGUUCUUAAUUCACUCGAUAACGUUAUGGAAACAGGGUUUAUUAUAUAAAUAUGUCAACUCCUCUUUCGCUUUAAAAAAAAAAUUAAUAUAUUUUUUUCUAAAAAAGGGCUAGUUUUAAGGCCUUUUGUGCGGGUUUUGAAUGGUCAAUCGGCUAGAAAUGUCCGUAAACCCUGGCAACCCUGCUUAGCUGUACCCCAUCUAGUCACAACCAGAGUCCAUCUAUGUUGGAUCAUUAUAGGCUAGGCUACUGCACAACGUGCACAUAAUACCAGCUACAUCACUGUGUGAGCAUGGACACGGACAGACAAUGCAUUGGGGGAUAAUGCUGCUUUAGCAUACUGAAUAACAUUAUCUUGUCUUGAUAUGCCAAAAUUGUGAGAGCAAUCUAAUAACGGGCGUGUGUAUUGCAAUGAUCGCACAUCACAGAUCGUAGCAUAAAUCUCAAUUGACUGUCAAGGCGCUACUACCGUACAUUCUAACAAAGCGCCGGCAUGUUCGUCCGCCUAUAAACGUUGUUUUGACAUUUCAGACAAAGAAUAAAUGUGUCAAGAACAGACUACAGCAUAGGUAACCGGUACAGUGCAUGAGCACAUGGUAUAGGUAGCCUAAUGAUAAUGAAUGAUGAUCCAGGUUCUUUUGUUCCACAUGCUGCACUACACAUGUGCCCAAACCUAAGCCCGCAAAAAGAGUAAGAAUGCUUUGACAUAACAUUGUGGGUGAAGAAAUAUGUCCAAUGGUAUUUUAAAAAGUUUCACUCACCGGAAUAGGAAGUCUGCCUGGACCAAUGUUUUGGAGAGCCCGCGAGCACUAGAUUGAUGUCCCGGGUGGAACCGUGGAAAAUAAUGUUACUGUCACAGCGUUCAAUCACUCCAUUAAACACAGAAUAAUAAUACAACAACUGACAAGUACUCUCUGUCGGACAACCCCUUUUAUAAAGCCAACCUGAAACACACCCGCAUCAUUCCAUAAACACGCCUUGUCCCUAGCGAUCUACAGUGCGCUGAAAUGUGUCCCAUCGUUCACACCCUCUCUUCCGCAAUAUACUGUAGUAGGCUACACAUUGGCGACAGCGCUUCCUUUCACUUGCUUUCACUUUAAAGUGCCACUGUACAAAUAACCUACAGUAGGCUAUCCUACACAUAUUUUUGUUAGCAUAUGGAGUCUUUAGAACAGUCUUAAGCACCUAUAGGAAAAUUGUUGACCUUCGUAACGCGGUUCGCAUGUCAACAGUAGCCUACACAUAUAGAG
rnacentral:lncRNA from 13 species